CUUCCGUUUCGUCUGCUUGUCCCCACGUCGUGCAGUCGAGCGCGCAGAGAGCGAAACUAUGCCACUUUUUAACCGUGUUCCAGCCCGCGAUCAUGCUCUGUGAUCCGCUUGCGUCUGCCUCAGUGUUCGUGUAGCACUGAUUUAUACCGCUAGUCAGGAGACCUGGUGUUCUG
rnacentral:lncRNA from 1 species